rnacentral:rRNA from 1 species
AGGAAGUGAACGAAGGGCGUACGGGGAAUGCCUAGGCUCUCAGAGACGAUGAAGGACGUGGUAAGCUGCGAAAAGCUAGGAGGAGGUGCAAACGACCGUUGAUUCCUAGAUGUCCGAAUGGGGCAACCCACUUGGUUGAAGACCAAGGAUCCCGAUGUAUUUCGGGAAGGUAACCCGGGGAACUGAAACAUCUAAGUACCCGGAGGAGGAGAAAAUAAUUUAAUGAUUCCGCAAGUAGUGGCGAGCGAACGCGGAACAGCCCAAACCAUUACGAUACGUCGUAGUGGGGUUGUAGGACUUGUAUAAUUCAAUACCAUGUAACUGGAACAGUUUUGGAAAAGCUGACCACAGGGGGUGAAAGUCCCGUACAGGAAGGAUGGUGUUGAUGACGAGUAUCCUGAGUAGGGCGGGGCCGGAGAAACCCUGUCUGAAUUUGCGGGCACCAUCCCGUAAGGCUAAAUACUCCUGAGAGACCGAUAGCGAACCAGUACCGUGAGGGAAAGGUGAAAAGAACCGCGAGAAGCGGAGUGAAAAGACCCUGAAACCGUGCGCCUACAAGCGGUCGGAGCCCCGAUACCUAUCGGGGUGACGGCGUGCCUUUUGCAUAAUGAGCCUACGAGUUACUCCUCACUACCGAGUUUAAGGUGUUCAGCACCGGAGGCGGAGCGAAAGCGAGUCUUAACAGGGCGUCAUAAGGUAGUGGGGGUAGACGCGAAACCUGGUGAUCUACCCAUGGGCAGGUUGAAGUUCCGAUAGUCUCGGAAUGGAGGACCGAACCGGUAAACGUUGAAAAGUUUUCGGAUGACCUGUGGGUAGGGCUGAAAGGCCAAUCAAACCAGGAGAUAGCUCGUACUCCCCGAAAUGCAUUUAGGUGCAGCGUCGUGGAAUGUGUGCCGGAGGUAGAGCUACCAAUA